rnacentral:lncRNA from 10 species
UGACAGCAGGCUUGACACCAGCUACUGUCCAGCUCCCCAGUAAACCAGAUUCCCUCAUUGCUCCUAAUGGGGUCUAGACUGCAGGAGGAGGAAGCAGGUGGGCAAUGUCCAGAUUUCCAUGAUGACCCUCUGAGGAGAUAUCCGUGGCUAGGUUACUGCACGACUACAGCAUCACAGAGGAGACUCCAGAACUCAAACUACCAAGAAUGCCUGUGAUAAAAAGUUCCCUUUGCAGCCAGACCAGCUGAGACUGGUACAUAGAACCAAGACAGCUGACCAAAGGACUUCAAAAAGACCUCAGUCUUCAUGAUAAUCUUAUUUCCAUGCUAAAUGAUACUCCCUCCAGCACCACGACAGUUGACAAUUGCCAUGACAAUGACUGGAAGAAGCCGUAAAAGGACUAAAAGGGAGGCGGUACUACUGAUUCCAGGAGGUUCACCACCCACUUCUGGAAAAGACAUGAAUAUUCUUCCCUUUUCUUUUAAUGUCACCUCCUUCAUUAGAGAAAUCCUGUAUCUUAAGCCCCUCACCCUCACUUGUUGAGAAGUUGAUUGUGAGCCAUCUCCUGCUUCUCAAUUCCACGGCCAUUGAAUAAAGCCUGCACUGCUUGAC